rnacentral:rRNA from 1 species
GUAAGGAAUAUUGGUCAAUGGGCGCAAGUCUGAACCAGCCAUGCCGCGUGCAGGAAGACGGCCCUCCGGGUUGUAAACUGCUUUUGUACGGGAAUAAACCUCUCUACGUGUAGGGAGCUGAAUGUACCGUAAGAAUAAGGAUCGGCUAACUCCGUGCCAGCAGCCGCGGUAAUACGGAGGAUCCAAGCGUUAUCCGGAUUUAUUGGGUUUAAAGGGUGCGUAGGCGGCCUGUUAAGUCAGGGGUGAAAGACGGUGGCUCAACCAUCGCAGUGCCCUUGAUACUGAUGGGCUUGAAUAGACUAGAGGUAGGCGGAAUGUGACAAGUAGCGGUGAAAUGCAUAGAUAUGUCACAGAACACCGAUUGCGAAGGCAGCUUACUAUGGUCUGAUUGACGCUGAGGCACGAAAGCGUGGGGAUCGAACAGGAUUAGAUACCCUUGUAGUCC